rnacentral:rRNA from 1 species
GAGUUUGAUCAUGGCUCAGAUUGAACGCUGGCGGUAUGCUUAACACAUGCAAGUCGAACGGUAACAGGAGAGAGCUUGCUCUUUUGCUGACGAGUGGCGGACGGGUGAGUAAUGCGUAGGAAUCUGCCUAGUAGUGGGGGACAAUGUGUGGAAACGCACGCUAAUACCGCAUACGCCCUACGGGGAAAGCGGGGGAUCUUCGGACCUCGCGCUAUUAGAUGAGCCUACGUUAGAUUAGCUAGUUGGUGGGGUAAAGGCCUACCAAGGCGACGAUCUAUAGCUGGUCUGAGAGGAUGAUCAGCCACACUGGGACUGAGACACGGCCCAGACUCCUACGGGAGGCAGCAGUGGGGAAUAUUGGACAAUGGGCGAAAGCCUGAUCCAGCAAUACCGCGUGUGUGAAGAAGGCCUGAGGGUUGUAAAGCACUUUCAAUUGUGAAGAAAUAUUUAAGGUUAAACUAACCUUAAAUUUUAGACGUUAACUUUAGAAGAAGC